rnacentral:rRNA from 1 species
CCUACGGGUGGCAGCAGUGAGGAAUAUUGGUCAAUGGCCGGAAGGCUGAACCAGCCAAGCCGCGUGAAGGAUGAAUGUGCCAAGCAUUGUAAACUUCUUUUGUCAAGGGACAAAAUCAGGCUCGAGAGCCUGUCCGAGGGUACUUGAAGAAAAAGCAUCGGCUAACUCCGUGCCAGCAGCCGCGGUAAUACGGAGGAUGCGAGCGUUAUCCGGAUUUAUUGGGUUUAAAGGGUGCGUAGGCGGGCUGUUAAGUCAGUGGUAAAAGCUGGGGGCUCAACCCCGGAGAGCCGUUGAGACUGGCAGUCUUGAGAUGUCGAGAGGUAUGCGGAAUUCGCAGUGUAGCGGUGAAAUGCUUAGAUAUUGCGCAGAACUCCGAUUGCGAAGGCAGUAUACCAGCGUCGAUCUGACACUGAGGCACGAAAGCGUGGGUAUCGAACAGGAUUAGAUACCCUAGUAGUC